UUGUGAAACUUGUGUGUGUGAGAGAGCGAGACAGAACAGUGGUGUCUCGCUGUGUGAGACUAUGAUGUCAUAGUCUCAUCCCCUAUGCAUGGCUCUGGCUGUAUCAUGCUAAUCCAGACCGAGGCAGAUAGAGAUGACUAAGGAGAGAAGGGAGGAGAGAAAAUAACAGGAGGAGAGAGGAUAGAAGAGCACACGGAUCAUCCUUUGCAGAAAGGAGCAGUGAAACAACAUACAAGGCUCGUCUCUGUUCGACAACCUGAGCUAAAACAGACCUGAGGACCUCACACCGAGGACAGCAUGACCAAAGACUGACCAGGACCACGCUUUUGGAUUGAAAACACUAGUUGGAGCCAGAGUAAACCAUACUGCAGAUUAACCCUGGAUUAAGGAGAGAGGGGGACAAAUAUCUAACACUUGUUCCCUACUGGCACUUUACAGAACAGACUAAUAUCUGAUGUAAAUAUUGACAUUGUGUUGGAUGCCUGUCCUCGUCUGAAUUGCACUAAGAGAAAGAGAAGGUUAUGGGAGCUCAUCCAUAACCCUUUGACUCCUCAACUGGCGGUGACCUCAGAGAUGCCCUAGGGGCUGGGUUCGAUGUGAGGCAGCUGUCUGCUGCGGUCGACGUACAACCCACGUCUGACUUCUCUUUUUUUACUCCCUCUGUUUUCUUCUCUUGUUGUAGCUACACACCUCUUUUCCGCUCGGCCUGGGGCUUCAAAUAGUCCUCCUGUAAAUCCAUUCCGAGGGAAGACGCUGGAGGUCUGAGUCAGACUGCGCCCCUGAGAGAGAGUUGUGUGUGUCAGUGAGUCUGUCAUGUCUGUUUCACUUACUUACCUGUCACAUCUGUCCACCCGUCUGUCUGUCCGUGUGAAUAAGUGUGAGUGAUAGCGUAACGGUUUGCGGUGUCUGUUUCGCUGUCUGUCUGUGGGAAUCAGUGACUUCAUGUGACAAAACGCGUGUGUGCGUUUCUAUCAGCAUUCAACGAUACGAGCCAAUUCAACUCUGUGUGUAUUGCUCUCCAUAAACCCACAAUGGGCUGUGCCAUGUGCUCACAGUUGAUUGAUGUGUGGAGUCUGUCGGUGAGGAGAACCAGCCGAAGGGCCAUGGAACUGACUGCCCUUCCCGAGGCUCUCCAGGGGGGCUACCACAGAGUCACUGGCCUCCACUACAUGUCCUCCUUCUCCGAUGCAGAGGACUGCUGCGAUGACAACAACAGUCACAACAGCACCACCGGCAGCUCCUUCACUAUGGACUGGCAAGAGACAGAUGACUGACACUGGGGUGACAGAAGGGAUUUGGGAAGACUUUCUUGGAACUCUCAAAACAUCCCACAAUGAUGUGGCCUUACCAUCAUGGCUCACACUGUCAUAAACAAGCCAGUAUUUUUUUCUGACUAAGUGACCGGACAAGGAAAAGAUACUCGAACCUGGAGUUCUGAAUGACUUUUGGCCCUACUCAAGUGAAUUACUCUGGGCCCUGAUCAUAAUGUAUCCGUCUACAAUAAAUCUAACAUUGAAAUACUGUCAGUGUCUUGGCUCAAAGAUGUAGUACAAGUGUAUUAUAGAUUUCUUAGUAAAAUAGCUUGAUUAUACAGUUUCUCGUGUGUCAGUCAGUCAAUACAUUGCUUAUGAUUCCCUUGACGUUGGUCUAUUAAAAGAUGGGUGCAGGAAAAAUCUGUUGCGUAUUAUACAACACCAGCCCCUAUUUUGGCAAAGACGCGGGGGGUCACACACCGGGUCAGACACUGUGGACCCACGCACAUAACUCUGUUCUGUAGGAAUCUCUCACCUGGGUGAGAUCAAGUAGCCUGGAUCUCACAUCGCUGCGCUCACCAUUGUUUUACUUGACUUGAGCAAAGCAUUCAGUCUGGUUUAACCAGGGUACAGACAGAUCCAGAGCCAAACAGCAGAGGGGAAAGGGAAACUCUCUUUGAAGUUUGGCGCUCCCACCUACAAAGUUUCCACACCACCUGCAUCUUUUCAAACAAUCCGAACGCACGCUUUCUGAAAAUGACAUGCCUGGGGGAGAGAAAUGGUUAGGAGGGCUGACAUGCUAUGGGUGUUUACCUGUAUAUAAUACCUAGUCAGUUGUACAACUGAAUUGCAUUCCACUUAAAUGUGACUCCUUUCAUGCACAGGAAUAUUUCUCAUAAAAGGAUGAUAAAGAGUCCUUCUUGCCAACAGUAGCACCAUGGACAUUAUCCAGGAGUUGACAUGGACACAUCU